AGAUCCAACAAUAUGAUUAUUUUACGGUAACCAUAGCUUCAAGUAUCGUAGUUCCCUUAUGACACAAUUCGGUUGAUCAAUUUGAGAGAGAUGUAUAUGAUGAUACAAUAAAUGGAAAGAUAUCUUUCAUUUGUCACCACUAUAGGUACAUCGUGUUAAGACUUGGAUUCUAUCUUAAAAGGUCGACCUUAUUAAGAGAAGUAGUUCAAAAUUUUAGAAGUUGAUUUAUGUUUUCAUUUUUAUUCGAUGUGAAAUUAUAUUCCUUAACAUGCCUGAUAAAUUGUGGCUCGUUUGAGUAGAUCAAUCUUGUAAUUUGUAUACUCAUUUUUUGAGUCUUAAUCGGAUCUAAUUGCUUGUUAGAGUUUAGUGGGCUUUGAUAUCAUUUUAAGACUUGGAGUUCUAUUUUAAAAUGUCAACAUUAUUAAGUGGAAUAGUCUAAAAUCUUAUAACUUGGUCUUUGCUUUCAUCUUAUACAAUGUAGGAUUAUAUCCUUAACACAUCGAGUACAGUAAUUCGAAAUAUUUCACUUAGGCAAUAAGCAUUUGUCACUUAUAGCAAGACAUUGACCUAGGAAAAAGGGAAUGAUCGAGGCAACUAAGUCAGAGACUACCUGCUUCACUUCGUAGCAUAAAGGGGAUUAUGCAUUUAGAUUAGGGAAAUCUACUAGGAAUGCAAUGUCUUCCCGUCCCCCAUGAAGGAUCAUAAAAAGCCGUUUUCGGCAACGGAAUUGUGUGCUUGCUUUAAUAGCUAAUCCGAGAUCAAUGAAAUCCUCCAUUUGUUAAAGUAAAUGCAAAAGUUCAUGAAGAGAUAAUCUCAUAACAUUUUAUAGGCAAGUUACAAAAGUUCGGGGACUAAACUUUUGUCAAAACGAGUUAUUUUUUUAUAAUAUUUUGGCUUAAAGAAAUAUGAGGCUAUAAAUUAUUUUUUACGAAACUUUUCCCCUCUUUUGUCGCUCAUAGGAAAACAUAACCUGCAAUAUGAACACAAUAAUUUUUCAUUUUUUGUCAUUUUUAGGAUUCUGCCAGCUCUGGCUUAGGCACAAAAUGAAUAUUUUUUCUUUAACUGGUAAUAAAAUUGCAUUAAAGAGAAAACCUAAAAUGAAGUGGUGGAAAAUUCUACCCAAAUCAUUCAUUUUGAAUUAUUUUUAACUGUGAAGAUAAGCAAUAUGAAAAUAAAGUAGGAAAUAAACUUUCCCUUGCCGACUGAAUUCUUCUUUGCCUUUACUGCUUCCCUUUAGUUUUGUGCACGAUUUUGGGAUUGAUUUUUGAUAUAGGAUGAUUGGGUUUAAGGUGGGUACAAAUGGUUCAAGGUGGUGGCAGUGCAUGAAUGAGCCCUUGAACUUGAACACCUAUUUGCCAAAAGAAAAUGACUUGCUCUCAUAUCAAAUUGACAGAGAGCACAAUUGAAAAGAAAUAGGAAGAGUGAACAAAGAGAAAGAUGGAGAGGAUACAAAGAAUUUAGAGGGGAAAAAAAUCAUUUUUUAUCAAAGUCUAAUUAUU
rnacentral:lncRNA from 1 species